rnacentral:lncRNA from 1 species
AUGCUGGGCGCGCGGGCCUGGUUGGGCCGCGUCCUUCUGCUGCCCCGCGCCGGUGCAGGCCUCGCCGCGAGCCGCAGGUGUCCUGGAGUCUGGCCCAGGACCUGGCCCCACAGGAGUCCCAGCAGGGGUAGCUCCUCCCGGGACAAGGACCGAAGUGCGACGGUCAGUAGUUCAGUGCCCAUGCCUGCUGGAGGGAAAGGAAGCCAUCCUUCAUCUACACCCCAGAGGGUCCCCAACCGCCUGAUCCACGAGAAGUCACCAUACCUCCUACAACAUGCCUACAAUCCUGUGGACUGGUGAGCACCUCUCCUGGGGCCCUGCCUGGAAUCGCUGGGGUCCUGGGCCCCUCCCAGACCCCCUGGGCUACUGAGUGAUGCCCCACCCUGCUGGGUCUAGGUACCCCUGGGGACAGGAAGCCUUCGACAAGGCCAGGAAGGAAAACAAGCCGAUUUUCCUCUCAGUCGGGUACUCCACCUGCCACUGGUGCCACAUGAUGGAAGAGGAGUCCUUCCAGAAUGAGGAGAUUGGCCGCCUGCUCAGUGAGGACUUUGUGA